UGAAUUGGAAAUUGUCAAUAGCUGUGAAAAGAACAAUAGUGUUUGUUCCCAUCACCGUGAACAUGAAAUUGGUGCUCCCUGUUGUUCCUGUAACCAUGGACACCAGCUUGAUUCCGAUGAGAAAACAUGCAUAGAUCUUGAUGAAUGUGAGAAUGGAGAAGCCUGCUGUGCUCAGCUCUGCAUCAACUAUUUAGGAGGUUACAAAUGCAGAUGUCAGGAAGGCUUUCAGAUCACUUCCGAUGGUUGUGGAUGUGAUGAUGUGGAUGAGUGGCUGGAUGUCAGUAUAGUCUGUGACCAACUACAUUAAUUCUGUGGGAACAUACGAAUGUAGUUGUGAAGAAGGCUACAGAAUUGGAAAUGACAGAAAAACUUACCCCUCUUUAGAUGAUGAUGAGUUGGAGGAAGAAGAGGAGUGGGAAGUUGUGAGGUUUCCAGGUCUUCUAUUCAAGAGCCCACCUCAACAGCUUCAUUAUGUUGCUACCUUUCUGCCUCCCACCUACAAAGAUGAAGAAGAUGAGGAGGAAGAGGAAAAAGAUAUUCGUAGAGAACUGACUGCUUUGCACAAUUUUGGUGUGUAAAAGAAUUUACCUUAUUAUACUUACUUUUAUUUUUAGAUAAUUUACUACAUUUUUGUAGACAAUUUUACUAUCAAUAUUUAAUGCCAUCGUAUGUUUCAACACGAAGUUUGCAAGAAAAGUAGGGCCAAAGUCACUUCUUCAGAGCUUCCUAUGAAAUCCAUCAUAUUUUGUCCUUUUUAUUUCCUUUUGUACAAUAAAGGAGUGCUGUGUAGGUACUUGUAGAAGUGGGAGUGCAGUGUGGAGGGGUGUUCUUGAAGUUAAUACAGGAAAAUGGAGCAGAAAAAUAUCUUUAAAUUAGCAUAAUGGGGAGAAAGAUUGAAAUCUUUUAAUUCUUCUAUUAAAAUUUCACUAGAAAUCACUUUAGAUAGUUAAAACUUACCUUAAAUAGCCCUAAAAUGUAGUUCCUUUCUAGGUUUUAAAAUGCAGAGAACUAAUUGGUUAAUAUGCUUAAAUGAACCAAAAAAUCUUCAAAAUGUGAGCAGUUUUUCUUAUAUAUCUAACCAACAGAACUCAAGCAUCAACUUCUGAUCAAAGUAAAUAUCAAAAGUAACUGUUUGCAGCCAAUCCGCUGCUUCUUUUUUUUCCUUUGUAAAACAGAGCUGUUCUUUUUAUUCUCCCUCUAUUUAUUGUAUUUUAACAAUAUCAAAGCUUGAUGAUUGCUUUAGAAUGUAUUCAGAAAAAUAGGAGAAAUAUUUUUAUGCAGUGGUCAAAUCAUAAUAAUAUCAGUAAGUGUCUCUUUAUAAAAAUGGAAGUACUUUAAUGUUUCUUAAUUAAACUCCUUAUGCUUUGGCUAAUCAAAGUCAGAAGAGAAAUAGUUGGGGGCGGCAACAACAACAGUCAGAACUUGAGUGGCCAAAAGCUGCAAAGAAGAGAAGACCAGACAAGUAGGAUGGUCUCAGAUGCUUUUCUCCUCAAGCCAUUUGCCAAUUAAUGGGUUGUGCCAGGAAUCUGAAAGAUAGCUGCCAAGAGCUUGAAGAGUGAAGCACAUUUAUCAGCAGUUUCAUGAUGAUGGGGAGGCAGAACAUGAGCUCAGGCCUGCCAAAGGCCUUGGUAAAAAUGCCAAGUUUUCAAUUAGGACAUCUUAAAGUCCCUACGCUAGAAACAGGGACAAAAGUUAAAAUUGAAUGAGCCUUAAACAACUGAAUACACAUCUCUCCACCUUUACUCGAUAUGAUAAUUUCCCUCAAAAAAAGAAUGGAUAAAUACAUUGUGGUACAUUAAUACAAUGGAAUGCUAUAUAACCAUAAAAAAUAAACUCUUGCAUACACAACAUGUAUGAAUCUCACAUACAUUAUAUUGAAUGAAAGAAGCUUGACACCAAAGAGUACAUACUUUACAAUUCUACCUAUAAAAAGUUCAAAAAAGGGAAAAUAAUCUGUGGUGAUAGAGAUCACCACGGUGCUUAAUUUAUGAAAUUAAUGAUUGAAAAUUAUCAAGUCACUUUUGAGAUUUUGGGUUGCUAGUAAUAUUAUGUAUCUUGAUCUGGGUGGCAUUUACAUGAGUUAUUUACAAUGUGAAAAUAAGUUUGAAGUAUACAGUUUAGAUUUGUGUACUUCUCUGUGUAUUAAAUUUUAAUAAAAAGAUUUAUUCAGAAAACAAAACUACACAUAAAAAAUUCUGAAAGAAAAAGCAUCAAAAUUUCAGGAACAUUGAUUUUUUUUGUUCUCAAAUCAAUGAUAAUUUCUUUUUUAAAAAAGAAAUUCCUAAAGAUUCUAAGUAUUCUUAGGGACAAUAUUCCAAUGUUAUAAUUGGAAAAAGUAAAAUAAGCUUUAUUUUAAAAGCUAUGUCUUGCUGUUGUCCUUUUUAAAGAUUCCUUAGGAACUAUGCUCAAGGAUCUUUUUUUUUUUUUUUUUGUAGGAAAUUAAGGGUUUUAUUUUGAUUUUUAGUUACGUAGACAUUUAUGAGCGAACUAAGAUGGUAUCACAUUACAGUCUGUUUAGAUCACAUCUUUGGACACAAUUGCAGCUUGAGCUGCAAGGACUGAAUGAAUGGAGGACAGUGCCAGGAAGGAGUGAAUGCUCCUGCCCAGCAGGUUGGGGUGUCAUUCCUUGUAAUGAAAGUAAGUGACACCCUGAGAAUUGGGUAAGCACUCCAAACUACUCCUUUACAUAUAUUCUCCCCAAAAUGUUUUAAUAAAGUAAGCAAUUGAUAAGUACAAGAAGACAAUUUGUUGGGCAUAAAUAAUGCUUAUGAAGAGCUUAAGUUUUAAACUGAAUAUGUGAAUUAAAAAGGAGAUUUUGUGUUCCCUAGGAAACUCGACAUGCUGUCUCUUGUUUAUCCAUGGAAUGUAAAAGUUAAUAAAGAAUGCUAAUAUUCUAGGCCUAUAAAAAUCCCUCCAUUUAAAUAAAUCAUUAGGCCCUGACAAGCUAUUCCCAAUGAAGAAAAAAGGAAAGGAUUUGUGCUACAAAGUGCAAUUUAAAUGGACUUGCUUGACUGUUUGCUGCUUGGUUUUGUGUAUUUUUUUGUGCUUUUUCUUUUGAAAAAUAUGUUAACACAGCCAAUGACACUGGUUUAAUUUUUUUAUACAAGUCUCUCAUGAGUAAGUUCAAAGAUUUAAAAAUCAUACUGCCCAAAAUUCCUUUCCUCCAUAUUUUAAAUGAAGGUAUGCUUUCAGGAGUUCAGACUUCCAAGUGACAAAAUAAAAUAUAUUGACUAUCUUCGUUUCUUCUUUCUCUUUUUAAAUUCAUCUUAUGAGUUCUAUUUAUAUAAGUGUUUUGUCUUAGUUUUUGUGAUUGGCUUGGAAGAUGAUAUGAACAGAUUUUCUUUUGAACUCUCUACAUAUGGGAAGAACACAACUGUUGUUACUCUUAUAUGAUGUAGAUGCAAAGCUUCAGUCAUAACAUAGUGAAAUGGUUUAACCAAGAUUACUAGUUAGGGUUUUGAGGAUCUUCCUCAUGCAUCCCUCUGAUCACGUUUCUCUGCUGCUGAAAAACUUUGUCCCUUUCCCUUCACAUAAAGUGUAUACAUCUUACCCAGUCACUAGUGGCCAUCAGACUCUCAUAAAUCCUUUUGGCUUUUUGUCCUAGUCAUAGCUCUUCGCCUAACCUAUUAUUUCCCGCAUACUAAACCACUCGCUACUUAAUGUGCUGCACUUUUCAUCUUUAUGCCUUUUGCUAAACUGUCAUCCUUGAAGGCCUAUUUCUGCCUAUUGCAUGAAUCUUUAUUUGAUGGCCUCAGUCUAACACAGCUAUUUAUGUUUUUGAUGGAUUAAAAAAAUUUCUCUCUCUCUACAUUGGAUUAGAGUUCACUAUGUUCAUUUUCUAUCUUCUUUGCUAGACUGAGAGCUCGCUGGCCAGGUCCUAUUCAUGCUUAUUCAUUGUGAAUUUCUCCACACUGGAGGCAUCCACUGCAUGAAUGAACACAUGAAUAAAACUUGGUGUUGAAACUCCCAGCUAUAUUGACCUGCAACUUGACACACUCAAAUACGUAAAAUUGGGAUCAAAUAAAUAUUAUUAUGUAAGUCAAUAUUUACCUUAUAUUGUAAGUUUUAUUGAUAAAUAUGCAUCUCCCAAUACUUAUCCCUAACAUAGUAAAAAAACUAAAAAGUCUAUCUC